CGCAGCGGCGUAAACUUGUAACUGAGCGGAGCCGAACAUGCUUCGCUCGGCCUCGCUCUUCGGCCUGGUCACCGACGAGCAAAGACGCGGUGCUGCCGUGUCCAGAGGGAACAGGAAACAGCUGCUGUUUCACAAGAACAACCAACCAACAAUGAGCGCAGCAGGACGAGCCUGAAGCUCGCGUCACUAACACUGCAACCAGAGGAAGUUCCUGCUCAUCCGGUUCACGUCGUGUCCCACUGCAACAGGAAUCCUUCUCCCAGUGCGCUGGCGUGUUCAGGCGUCGCACCUAAAUGUCGAAGAAAUAUGAAGCCAACUGCGAUCCUCAUUAGCAUUUAGAGGUGUGGGUGUGAAGCUCAGGCUCCGUCCGUCAGCUGCUGUGCUGGGUGGAGGUGGACUACAGGUCCCCACAUGGCUGCACAGGCAUUCACUUCCUUUGGACCCAGGCCCGGCUGAACCCAGAGCCUCCAUCUGUCCUCCUCGGAGCCAGAGGAGGUCGUACUGUUCACACUGUGCUCCGCUCCGUCCUGUCCGAGUCCCCGACAGCGUGACCGUGGAGCUGCUGAGUCAGUCUCAGCAUGUGGGACAGAAAGUGUGCGGAAGAAAAAUGAGAUCUUUAAAGGUGGAUUUCCUGGACUUUUCACCUUCGUAUUCUCAUCUAUUCGUUUGUGUCGUUUUGGUUGUUUCAUGUCUGUUAACAUUUGUAAACACAUGCUUCUGAGUCCUGGCGCCGUCGCUCUCUUGAGACGACGGGGGCUCCAGAUGGUGCAGUGCAGCAGCAGACGGGGAGCCUCAGGGGGCGCAGGGGCCCGUCAGCAGGGGGCCAGAUGACCCGGGCCAGACAGCUCUUUAGCACCAAAUUAGCCUGGGAUGAGCACGCCACACAAUAACACGCUGUUAAUACCAUCAAAGAGCUGUUGGAGCCAAAGCUGCAGCCUUUUGGGGCCUGAGUGUCAAACCUCACACCGGCUUAAUAAUAAUAACAGAGCAUUAAUACAGGUGAUCUGAGACAUGGUCCAGACAAUGACACUCACAGUUCAUCACUGUGUGAAAUGAAGCAUGUCCUCAGAGCUCAGCCUCCUGACCUGCAUCCGUUGGGCCCAUCAGUCACUGGACUCACAGCAGUCACGGCUCCUUGAAGAAGUGGCAGCUACUGACCGACAGAGGGCGCUGCUGGUUGAACGGUGCUUCACAGACACCAGGG